rnacentral:lncRNA from 1 species
GUCCUAGACCAAAAAUGAGCAUUUUUGUAUCCAUGUUAACGUUUUUGUGAAAAUCAAGCACAAUAUUUGAUAAUGUGAAACAUAAAAUGUUUGGGACUGUUUCCUAGAGUAUUCAGAAUAACACUCAUCAAGACUGUUUGAAGGAGGUCUUCCAGAGAUGCUGGAAGAAUUGUUAGAGGCCGUGUGGUACAUGGGAGUGACAGGGUGACGCUUUCUUCCAUGUGAACAUGGGGAAGGCAUUUGAUGACUUCAUGUCUCAGGUUCCCCAUCUGCAAAAGGGAGACUCUAAUGCUCCCUACUUCAUGGCUGAUGUGAACAUUCAUUAAGUUAGUUCAAGCAUCUAAAUCACUUAUAACGAAACCUCAUUCUUACUAUGGGCAGGUUAAUCGAGCUCUCUAAGCUUUAAUCUUCCAAUCUGUUAAAUGGAGAGAGCAUCUUUGAAGACCUAAUUUAGUCUUCUACAGUUUUUUUUCCCCCAUUUAUUCUCAAAAGGUCAUAAGGUGCUUUGGAUUUGUUUGAUUCUUAUGAAUUCUGUAUGACCAACUCCUCAGAUGCAGCCAGAAGAGCUAUCAGAUUGCUUUCAUAUUUCUAGAGUCAAUGAAAACCAGGGGGCUUUCCUACAAUCCCAUUCAUUCUGCUAUUUAGUCACCAGACACUUCUGAGCAUCAGCUGUGCAUCAGGCACUGGUGUCUAGGUGCUUGGGAUUUAUCCGUGAAUAGCAACAACCAAAGAUCCCUACCUCCAGGGACCAUGCAGUCUGGGGGAGAGAAGGUGGUAAAACCAGGGACUCGG